UUUGGUGGAAACGCACGACACCUCCUCGGACAUCGUCCACAAUUAUCCGACCCCAUUCGAAAUUGGGAUUCGAUUUGUGACGUGAACUCAUGGGCGUGUAAAUGAAUGUUGUGUGCCACCGGAACAGGUGUAAAUUGCGCAAAAUCCACCUUGGAAAUGAUCCACCAGAAACACACGAACUGCGCAAUGUUUUGCUGGGCGACUUCUGAUUGUUCCCGAGAUGAAUCCCGAUGUAUUCUCUGUGGGUAUCCUGCUGUUCCUGCAGCACAGGAAUCCGCACGGAUUGGUGUACUAAGUUGAGGCAGUUUCCAGGUGUGUCCAAAAGCCCAUAAAGGUUGAGAUUUCCAUGUUGGCCAUCUGACGCAUUUGUGUCGCCGCAUAAACCGCUGUAGGGAUUGGCCGACAUGCACGGGAAUGUCAACAAGUUCUCACCAUUCUGAGGAGCUCCAAACGUCACCAAAAGCUUCCCUCUAUUGUCCAUUGUGAGCAUCCGGAAUUGAAUAAAUCUCCGAGAAACAUGAUUGUUUGAGUCAUAAA